UACAGAGGUCCCAAGCGUUGUUCGGAAUUACUGGGCGUAAAGGGCGCGUAGGCGGUCUUGUAAGUCCCGUGUGAAAUCCCUCGGCUCAACUGAGGAACUGCACGGGAAACUGCUUGGCUUGAGUUCGGGAGAGGGAAGCGGAAUUCCGGGUGUAGCGGUGAAAUGCGUAGAUAUCCGGAGGAACACCGGUGGCGAAGGCGGCUUCCUGGACCGACACUGACGCUGAGGCGCGAAAGCCAGGGGAGCAAACGGG
rnacentral:rRNA from 1 species